rnacentral:lncRNA from 1 species
AGACGACCAAAAAAAUGGUAGAUGGAAGAAGCAGUGGAAGAAAGGUUCUGGUUUCCAUGGCCAUAAGCUUGGUCCUGUUAGUUGCCUUCUCGUCGGAGCUCAGCGGGUCGUACGUCUCUCGAAACUCGGUAAGUACAAUGAUUUGGACUAGUAUAGUGGGUCCGGUCAAGUUGAUGUUGGGUUUGUUCCAUCUAACAAGUCAAAAGGGAUUAUUGUUAUUAGGUUUAACAAUCUGUCUAAUCGAUAAUAGAGAGAUCAUUUGUUAGAUGCCAUCCGAAAAUUCAACCUAACAUAGACUUCGGUAGCAUCACAUGUCUAGUUUAGUUGGUAAAGCCCAAAGGCUUUUAACUUUAUAAUUGUGGAUUUGUGCCCACAGUGGACAUACUUGAAGACUUCGGGAUUUUCUUUAGUUUUGUUCAGAAUUUUUUGUUCUAUCUACUAUGAUAAAAUUUUCAUUUAUAACAAAAAAAACAACUAAUUAACAACUCAUGUAGCUGGUUUUAAACUAGCAGAUUCUUAUCGUGUUCAUAUACCACUUUCAUCUUUGACCCAUAUUCUAAACUUCAAAUCUCAUUAAUUUGGAAAGUUUUCGAUUGAGGGGAACAUGUUAUAGGAUAAAUUAUAUCGAUUUUCUAAACUUUCAUGUUAUUGGGAUAGUAAUAGUUAUACGAGUAAGAUUUUUGAGGCUUCCUCGACUUUCGCAGGUGAACAACAAGAGACAAAGAAUCUUGAAGAACUUCGAGAAUCGAAAAUUUCUGCAAGCGGAAGUGAUUCACACGUAAGCCACCAUGGGAAUCAUAGGCGUGGUAAUGACGGUGGUCGACGAUUACUUCAAAUCACCACUUCUACUAUGAUAUAAUUGUUGUAUGUACAAAACUUAAGUUGCUUUGUGUUCAAAUCUACCCUAGGAAUUUUCAAUCUAAAUAUUUCAUAGUAGUAAUAAAAGUCUAUGAUACACCGCCCGUUAUAGCUUCGAUAUCAUGUUAGAACAUGACUUAAUAAAAGUAGAACGCAAAAUUAUUCAUUGUAUUAUUGAAGUCAAGUAUUUAUAAUAUCCAAG